GCCGCAUUUGGACCGUCGGUCUACCGAGAAAUAUCACCCACUCGGUGGAAGAUUUUCCUUCUGUCGU
rnacentral:pre_miRNA from 1 species